rnacentral:rRNA from 1 species
ACCGGCGGCUCGAGUGGUGGCCACUAUUACUGGGCUUAAAGCGUUCGUAGCUGGCUUGUUAAGUCUCUGGGGAAAUCUUCCGGCUCAACCGGAAGGCGUCUCAGGGAUACUGGCAGGCUAGGGACCGGAAGAGGUGGGAGGUACUCCAGGGGUAGCAGUGCAAUACUGUGAUCCUUGGGGGACGAACUGUGGCGAAGGCGUCUCACCAGGACGAGUCGCCCAGUGAGGACCGAAAGCUAGUGGAGCAAACCG